rnacentral:rRNA from 1 species
UGGGGGGAACCCUGAUCCAGCCAUGCCGCGUGUGUGAAGAAGGCCUUUUGGUUGUAAAGCACUUUAAGCGAGGAGGAGGCUACUGGUAUUAAUACUACCGGAUAGUGGACGUUACUCGCAGAAUAAGCACCGGCUAACUCUGUGCCAGCAGCCGCGGUAAUACAGAGGGUGCGAGCGUUAAUCGGAUUUACUGGGCGUAAAGCGUGCGUAGGCGGCUUUUUAAGUCGGAUGUGAAAUCCCUGAGCUUAACUUAGGAAUUGCAUUCGAUACUGGGAGGCUAGAGUAUGGGAGAGGAUGGUAGAAUUCCAGGUGUAGCGGUGAAAUGCGUAGAGAUCUGGAGGAAUACCGAUGGCGAAGGCAGCCAUCUGGCCUAAUACUGACGCUGAGGUACGAAAGCAUGGGGAGCAAACAGGAUUAGAUACCCUGGUAGUCCAUGCCGUAAACGAUGUCUACUAGCCGUUGGGGCCUUUGAGGCUUUAGUGGCGCAGCUAACGCGAUAAGUAGACCGCCUGGGGAGUA